CGCUGGCGGCACGCCUAACACAUGCAAGUCGAACGAAGUAGCAAUACUUAGUGGCAGACGGGUGAGUAACAUGUAGGUAUCUACCCUUUGGCCUGGAAUAACACGAGGAAACUUGUGCUAAUACCGGAUAAGUCUUUACAGAGAAAGCUUUAUGCACCAUUGGAUGAGCCUGCACUUGAUUAGUUUGUUGGUAGGGUAAUGGCCUACCAAGACUGUGAUCAAUAGCUGAUUUGAGAGGAUGAUCAGCCACAUUGGGACUGAGACACGGCCCAAACUCCUACGGGAGGCAGCAGUGGGGAAUCUUGCACAAUGGAGGAAACUCUGAUGCAGCGAUGCCGCGUGAGUGAAGAAGGCCUUUGGGUUGUAAAGCUCUUUCGUCGGGGAAGAAAAUGACUGUACCCGAAUAAGAAGGUCCGGCUAACUUCGUGCCAGCAGCCGCGGUAAUACGAAGGGACCUAGCGUAGUUCGGAAUUACUGGGCUUAAAGAGUUCGUAGGUGGUUGAAAAAGUUGGUGGUGAAAUCCCAGAGCUUAACUCUGGAACUGCCAUCAAAACUUUUCAGCUAGAGUAUGAUAGAGGAAAGCAGAAUUUCUAGUGUAGAGGUGAAAUUCGUAGAUAUUAGAAAGAAUACCAAUUGCGAAGGCAGCUUUCUGGAUCAUUACUGACACUGAGGAACGAAAGCAUGGGUAGCGAAGAGGAUUAGAUACCCUCGUAGUCCAUGCCGUAAACGAUGUGUGUUAGACGUUGGAAAUUUAUUUUCAGUGUCGCAGCGAAAGCGAUAAACACACCGCCUGGGGAGUACG
rnacentral:rRNA from 1 species